ACCUCGAUCGAAAAAAUAUAUUUAUAUACCUACCUCCCCCGCGAAACCCCCUUGAAUAUCGCUCCGUUUAAGCAGGCCAUUAUCAUGCAAUUCAAAGCCACUCUAUGCCGCUUUCUAUGGGCUACCGACUAUCGGAUUUCUGUUUAUUAUUGUCUAUAUAAUAUAUAGAAACCCACGAGUCUACGGUUCUGUUUCAACUUUUGCCAGGUUUCCAUCAGUCAGUCGAUUGAUUGACAGCGAAAAACCCUCUUAUCUCUACUUUUUUCUCACAUUUAGUAACUUUCUUUCAAUGUAUGGUUUCCCCGCUUUGCCUUUAUCAUAGUUUUAUCUUGGAGACCGAAUACUCUUUUUAUACAAGGCCAUAUAAAGUAUUAUAUUUGGAAUUCUCCUGAAGUGAAUAACUAUUAUUCAAGAGAUUGCAAACCUUCGUUUGUUUAUUUUUAGAUUUUCCCUGUAUACAAUCGAUCGAUUAAUGGGGCGCUAUCUCAUGUUUAAAGAUGUCAUAAUAAAAGAUUACAUUGAACUAUUAUAACGA